GGAGCAGUGGCCAAGUGGUAAGGCAUUGGUCUCGUAAACUGAAGAUCACGGGUUUGAACCCUGUCUGUGCCU